GAUUGAACGCUGGCGGCAGGCCUACCACAUGCAAGUCGAGCGGAUGACGGGAGCUUGCUCCUGGAUUCAGCGGCGGACGGGUGAGUAAUGCCUAGGAAUCUGCCUGGUAGUGGGGGAUAACGUCCGGAAACGGGCGCUAAUACCGCAUACGUCCUGAGGGAGAAAGUGGGGGAUCUUCGGACCUCACGCUAUCAGAUGAGCCUAGGUCGGAUUAGCUAGUUGGUGGGGUAAAGGCCUACCAAGGCGACGAUCCGUAACUGGUCUGAGAGGAUGAUCAGUCACACUGGAACUGAGACACGGUCCAGACUCCUACGGGAGGCAGCAGUGGGGAAUAUUGGACAAUGGGCGAAAGCCUGAUCCAGCCAUGCCGCGUGUGUGAAGAAGGUCUUCGGAUUGUAAAGCACUUUAAGUUGGGAGGAAGGGCAGUAAGUUAAUACCUUGCUGUUUUGACGUUACCAACAGAAUAAGCACCGGCUAACUUCGUG
rnacentral:rRNA from 1 species